GACGAACGCUGGCGGCGUGCCUAAUACAUGCAAGUUGAGCGAUGAAGCUUGGUGCUUGCACCAAUUUGAAGAGCAGGGCACGGGUGAGUAACGCGUGGGGAAUCUGCCUUUGAGCGGGGGACAACAUUUGGAAACGAAUGCUAAUACCGCAUAAUAACUUUAAACAUAAGUUUUAAGGUUGAAAGAUGCAAUUGCAUCACUCAAAGAUGAUCCCGCGUUGUAUUAGCUAGUUGGUGAGGUAAAGGCUCACCAAGGCGAGGAUACAUAGCCGACCUGAGAGGGUGAUCGGCCACCUUAGGACUGAGACACGGCCCAAACUCCUGCGGGAGGCAGCAGUAGGGAAUCUUCGGCAAUGGACGAAAGUCUGACCGAGCAACGCCGCGUGAGUGAAGAAGGUGUUCGGAUCGUAAAACUCUGUUGGUAGAGAAGAACGGUGGUGAGAGUGGAAAGCUCAUCAAGUGACGGUAACGACCCAGAAAGGGACGGCUAACUACGU
rnacentral:rRNA from 1 species